rnacentral:rRNA from 1 species
CCUAGGGUUGCUGCAGGCGAGAAAACUUUGCAAUGUGCGAAAGCACGACAAGGUUAAUCCGAGUGGUUUGUGCUAAACGAACCUUUUGACAGUCCUAGAAACACUGUUGAAUAAGGGGUGGGCAAGUUCUGGUGUCAGCCGCCGCGGUAAAACCAGCACCUCAAGUGGUCAGGAUGAUUAUUGGGCCUAAAGCAUCCGUAGCCGGCGCUGUAAGUUUUCGGUUAAAUCUGUACGCUCAACGUACAGGCUGCCGGGAAUACUGCAAAGCUAGGGAGUGGGAGAGGUAGACGGUACUCGGUAGGAAGGGGUAAAAUCCUUUGAUCUAUUGAUGACCACCUGUGGCGAAGGCGGUCUACCAGAACACGUCCGACGGUGAGGGAUGAAAGCUGGGGGAGCAAACCGGAUUAGAUACCCUGGUAGUC